GACGAACGCUGGCGGCGUGCUUAACACAUGCAAGUCGAACGGAAAGGCCCCUUUGGGGGUACUCGAGUGGCGAACGGGUGAGUAACACGUGAGUAACCUGCCCUUGACUUCGGGAUAACUUCAGGAAACUGGGGCUAAUACCGGAUAGGAAUCCUUGCUGCAUGGUGGGGGUUGGAAAGCUUCGGCGGUUUUGGAUGGACUCGCGGCUUAUCAGCUUGUUGGUGGGGUAGUGGCUUACCAAGGCUUUGACGGGUAGACGGCCUGAGAGGGCGACCGGCCACAUUGGGACUGAGAUACGGCCCAGACUCCUACGGGAGGCAGCAGUGGGGAAUAUUGCACAAUGGGCGGAAGCCUGAUGCAGCAACGCCGCGUGCGGGAUGACGGCCUUCGGGUUGUAAACCGCUUUCAGCAGGGGCGAAGCUUGUGGUGACGGUACCUGCAGAAGAAGCACCGGCUAACUACGUG
rnacentral:rRNA from 1 species